GCUACUGAAGCUUAGGUUGUAAAUGUCACCUC
rnacentral:piRNA from 1 species